rnacentral:tRNA from 1 species
UGGUAGAAAGAGGACUCAAACCUCUGUCCAUGGAGCUACAAGCCACCGCCUAUCUCUCGGCCAUCCUACC